UACGAGGGGUCCUAGCGUUGUUCGGAAUCAUUGGGCGUAAAGAGCUCGUAGGUGGCUUAGUAAGUCAGGUGUGAAAGCCCAGGGCUCAACCCUGGAAGUGCACUUGAAACUGCAUAGCUUGAGUACGGUAGAGGUGAGUGGAAUUCCUGGUGUAGUGGUAAAAUACGUAGAUAUCAGGAGGAACAUCGGUGGCGAAGGCGGCUCGCUGGACCAGUACUGACACUGAGGAGCGAAAGCAUGGGGAUCAAACAGG
rnacentral:rRNA from 1 species